rnacentral:rRNA from 1 species
CCCAGACUCCUACGGGAGGCAGCAGUGAGGAAUAUUGGUCAAUGGGCGGGAGCCUGAACCAGCCAAGUCGCGUGAGGGAAGACGGUCCUAUGGAUUGUAAACCUCUUUUGUCGGGGAGCAAAGAGGCCACGUGUGGUCAAAAGCGAGAGUACCCGAAGAAAAAGCAUCGGCUAACUCCGUGCCAGCAGCCGCGGUAAUACGGAGGAUGCGAGCGUUAUCCGGAUUUAUUGGGUUUAAAGGGUGCGUAGGCGGGACGGUAAGUCAGCGGUAAAAAUUCGGGGCUCAACCCCGUCCGGCCGUUGAAACUGGGGGCCUUGAGUGGGCGAGAAGAAGGCGGAAUGCGUGGUGUAGCGGUGAAAUGCAUAGAUAUCACGCAGAACCCCGAUUGCGAAGGCAGCCUUCCGGCGCCCUACUGACGCUGAGGCACGAAAGUGCGGGGAUCGAACAGGAUUAGAUACCCGCGUA